GCAUCGAUGAAGAACGUAGCGAAAUGCGAUACUUGGUGUGAAUUGCAGAAUCCCGUGAAUCAUCGAGUCUUUGAACGCAAGUUGCGCCCGAAGCCAUUAGGCCGAGGGCACGUCUGCCUGGGCGUCACCC
rnacentral:rRNA from 1 species